CCCUUCAUGCUUCACUAUAUGUUCGCUUAGUAUUGCAAAAAUAGCUAUGUACAGUGUGUUUGCUAUCACAUAUGCAUGGUGCAUAAACUUAUUGAUAACUGAACAUGCAAAUGAGUGUUAGUAAUGUUCUCGAGCCUCCACCAGCUAAGUUCCACCGAUUUGCCAUUGAACAGAGAUCACAUUCACUCAUGUAUCACGAUAGAUAUGUUGCGGCAACCACUUGAGAUGCAAAUAUAAGCUUCCAGAUUUAGCUCCAUCAAGCUUAAACCCGUCCUUGUACUCACCUUCCAAAAUAACCUUUGUCAAAGUCAGGAUACAUCUUCCCAUGUAGUCCUUGCCAAAUGUGUCAUGAUCCCAUACUUCAAGAAUUAGCAUAUCAUGUAAUCCGUCCUCAACAACAAAGUCGAAAGUUUGAUUCCAAACAGGAUUCAAGCAAUCAUUCACAACCCUAGUUUUGUUUUUUGUUUCUGAUUUCUUCAUUGUGAGAACAACGUAGGGAUCAGCCUUGCCCAUCAAAUCUACCACUGGCAAAUCUUCAGCAGAUAUCACAGUCACGGAAAGAACUCCUCUAACUAUGACCUCCCUUCUCCUUUGUGUAAUUGCGUUUCCGUUUCCAGUGACUUCAAUCCCAUCCGCCCCACUUUUAAGAACCUUCUCCAAGGAGGUCAUUGAGAAGCUCGAAGCAAAUGGGUUUGUAAAGCCAUUCUCCAUACCAAAAGGACAGUACAAAAGCUCCAAGUGAACCUGGCCCCUGUUUUUAUUAUCCCUUUGGACCUCCAAAUCUUUAACCAGAUUCAACCAUACAUCUUUCACUUUACCAGGCUCAAGCUCACUUAGCUGCACUUGAGCACAUCCAAUGAGCUCAGAUGCCUGCAGCCCUUCAUCAUCAAAGAUCUUUACCACCAAGUGUUGAGUGGUUGCAUCUUCAACAAUAAAUUCAAAGUGCUCAUUCCAGAUUGGAUUCAGAUCAUUGUUAAUUAUUUUACUGGUUUUUGUUCUGUCACGUAGAGGACGUAUGUAUAAUUCAGCAUAGGGAUCUGAUUUCCCAAUGAUGUCUUUGUUUGUCAAAUCCUUUGCUUGCACAAGCUUUACUUCUAACAUCCCAACAGGCUUUAACUCCAGAUCACUAUAGUCCCCAGGCAAAAUUGGAACAACUUUCCGAACAGGCCAGGUAAUCGAAUCUUCAAUAGCAUCACGUAUUGUCCCCUCAAUAGCAUCAGAAAUUCCAGGAAUUGCUGAUAUGUCACCGCCAAUAACUUUUAGUGUAAAAUCCAACUUUUUCUUUUGUCGCAAGGAAUAACAAACAGCUCCAAAGCAAGGAAACUCAUUAACCAAUGGCUUAAAGAUCAACCUGAAAACCCCAGUAAAUCCAAUAUCUUUCACCUGCACAGGCAAGGAAACACCAAGUCUGGUCUUAAUAUCUAGUAUUAUACUUGGAUUCCCGUCCCAAUUCAUUUCCAACUCCAUGGUAAUGCCACUACCUCCAUCUUCAAUAAUAGAAACUCCUGUAAAUUGCGGUGCAACUGUUCCAAGGGUAAACUUGGAAAAUUUAAGAGAUGAUAGUAUAAUCGGUCUAUAUUGCUCAAGAACAGGCUCCACGGAAGCCCUUAUCAACUCAGAUGCAGCCGCAUCCACAUAGGGCCAGAUCUUUACGAGUUGAAGAUUUAGCCAAUUCAACUUCUGGCGCUGGGAGAAAACAACCCAAGAAGGGUAGAACUCAGCAGGCAAGAUCUUUCUAGAAUCCUCCACAGUCAUCCUCGCAAACGCAGCAAUGGUAGUUGCGAGUUCAGUGCGCAUCUUAGAUCGGGCAUUCUCAGACCGAACAAAUCCAACAAUAAGCGCAAGGCCCACGACGAGACCAACGACCAGGCCAAGCAAAAAAGCCAUUUGAUGAACUGGAAUGAGUAGAAAUGAUGAAAUUGAAGAAGAAAAGCGUGAGUAAGGAAAAGAAGAGAGAAGGGUGUGUGUAUGUAUGAUUAGCAGAAGACUGUUUGUUUGUUUUAAGGGAAGGGGAAGAGGAUGAGGAGCUUAACCUCAGUGGGGUCAAAA
rnacentral:misc_RNA from 1 species